rnacentral:rRNA from 16 species
CACGGCCCGUCGCUCCUACCGAUUGAAUGGUCGUAUGAAGUGUUCGGAUCGCGGCGACGGGGGCUGUUCGCCUCCGCCGACGUGGCGAGAAGUCCAGUGAACCUUAUCAUUUAGAGGAAGGAGAAGUCGUAACAAGGUUUCCGUAGGUGAACCUGCGGAAG